UACGUAGGGUGCAAGCGUUAAUCGGAAUUACUGGGCGUAAAGCGUGCGCAGGCGGUUUUGUAAGACAGAGGUGAAAUCCCCGGGCUCAACCUGGGAACUGCCUUUGUGACUGCAAGGCUUGAGUGCGGCAGAGGGGGAUGGAAUUCCGCGUGUAGCAGUGAAAUGCGUAGAUAUGCGGAGGAACACCGAUGGCGAAGGCAGCCUCCUGGGAUAACACUGACGCUCAUGCACGAAAGCGUGGGGAGCAAACAGG
rnacentral:rRNA from 1 species